rnacentral:tRNA from 1 species
UCCCUGAUAGCUCAGUGGGUAAAGAACCUGCCUGCAAUGCAGGAGAUCCUGGUUCGAUUCCUGGGUCGAGAA